rnacentral:lncRNA from 1 species
CUAUAUUAUAUGACAUGUAUGAUGUUGAAGUACGUAAAAGCUGACCCGAAUAUAAUCACUAGCCAAAAAGAUCAUGAAUGGAUUUAAAUUACCAAAAACAAGAAAGAUGGAAAAUUCCGUUUGGAGAAAAAAAAAGGUUUAAACUCUUCACUGUCACUGAGAAUAAAAUGGAAGACUCUAUUUAUAUCCAAUCAAACGGUUGUAAAUGUAACAAUUUUAGUUGGGAGAUAGGAGAAUAAUUAUUUGACAAUGAUGUCCGAUGUUCAUUUGGCCAAGUUGUGGGGAAAAAAAG